rnacentral:rRNA from 1 species
UGCCAGACUCCUACGGGAGGCAGCAGUGGGGAAUAUUGCACAAUGGGGGAAACCCUGAUGCAGCGACGCCGCGUGAGUGAAGAAGUAUUUCGGUAUGUAAAGCUCUAUCAGCAGGGAAGAAAAUGACGGUACCUGACUAAGAAGCCCCGGCUAACUACGUGCCAGCAGCCGCGGUAAUACGUAGGGGGCAAGCGUUAUCCGGAUUUACUGGGUGUAAAGGGAGCGUAGACGGCAUGGCAAGUCAGAUGUGAAAGCCCGGGGCUCAACCCCGGGACUGCAUUUGAAACUGUCAGGCUGGAGUGCAGGAGAGGUAAGUGGAAUUCCUAGUGUAGCGGUGAAAUGCGUAGAUAUUAGGAGGAACACCAGUGGCGAAGGCGGCCUGCUGGACGACAACUGACGGUGAGGCGCGAAAGCGUGGGGAGCAAACAGGAUUAGAUACCCGUGUA